rnacentral:lncRNA from 1 species
GAGAAGUACAGACCUGAGUAUAAUGGAGACCUCUAGCCUCUAAUCAUGGGCACUAAAGGGGAUUGCAGACUUGAAGGGAUUGAACCAACUACUGCAAGUCAUGGGCAUUCAAUGUUUUGUAAGAGACAACCAGUCAAUUCAAAGAUGCAGGCAGGCGGAGAAGGAUGGCCAUGUUCGCCAAAGCAUAAUGGAAGAUGUUGAUGAAACCGCACUGUUGAAACAAAUGGAGCGGGAGAAAAUGCCUCCUCCUCCAAAGCCAAAGCCCCCCACUGACAAGGUACUGGCAGCAAAAAAGAUCCAGUCCUGAUGGUGGGGCACGCUGGUGCAAUGCACACUACUGCACGUGACCCUCAGAGCUUUGAUCAUUCAGUGCUGGUGGAGGCAGGUGCUGGCAAGGCUGCAGGCGAAGAGGCA